CACGAACGCUGGCGGCAGGCUUAACACAUGCAAGUCGACGGGUGUAGCAAUACAUCAGUGGCAGACGGGUGAGUAACACGCGGGAACCUUCCUAGGGGUACGGAACAACUCAGGGAAACUUGAGCUAAUACCGUAUACGUCCGUGAGGAGAUAGAUUUAUCGCCCUUAGACGGGCCCGCGUCGGAUUAGGUAGUUGGUAGGGUAACGGCCUACCAAGCCUACGAUCCGUAGCUGAGCUUAGAGGAUGAUCAGCCACACUGGGACUGAGACACGGCCCAGACUCCUACGGGAGGCAGCAGUGGGGAAUCUUGGACAAUGGGCGCAAGCCUGAUCCAGCCAUGCCGCGUGAGUGAAGAAGGCCUUAGGGUUGUAAAGCUCUUUUACAAGGGACGAUAAUGACGGUACCUGGAGAAUAUGCCCCGUCAAACUUCGUGCCAGCCGCCGCUGUAAAAC
rnacentral:rRNA from 1 species